GACGAACGCUGGCGGCGUGCCUAAUACAUGCAAGUAGGACGCAGUUGCGAACGGGUGAUUAACGCGUCGGUCACUACCUCUUAGAGGGGGAUAACUAUUGGAAACGAUAGCUCAUACCGCCUCCUAGUAGAUGGACCUGCGUUGUUUUAGCUAGGAGGUAGGGGAAUGGCCUACCUAGGCAACGAUACAUAGCCGGCUUGGGAGGGGGAUCGGACAACAUGGGACUGGGAAACGGGCCAGACUGCUACGGGAGGGAGCAGGAGGGAAGCUUCGGAAAUGGGGGGAAACCUGACCGAGCAAAGCCGGGUGAGUGAAGAAGGUUGUCGGAUCGUAAAGCUCUGUUGGUAAGGAAGCGGUACUUAACCAGAAAGGGACGGCUAACUACGUGCCAGCAGCCGCGGUAAUUC
rnacentral:rRNA from 1 species